rnacentral:rRNA from 1 species
AUUGAACGCUGGCGGAAUGCUUUACACAUGCAAGUCGAACGGCAGCACGGACUUCGGUCUGGUGGCGAGUGGCGAACGGGUGAGUAAUGUAUCGGAACGUGCCCAGUCGCGGGGGAUAACGUAGUGAAAAUUACGCUAAUACCGCAUACGAUCUAUGGAUGAAAGCGGGGGAUCGCAAGACCUCGCGCGAUUGGAGCGGCCGAUAUCAGAUUAGGUAGUUGGUGGGGUAAAGGCCCACCAAGCCAACGAUCUGUAGCUGGUCUGAGAGGACGACCAGCCACACUGGAACUGAGGCACGGUCGUGACUCUUAAGGGAGGGAGCAGUGGCGAAUUCUAGACUAUGGACGAAAGCCGGAUCCUGCCAUGUCGAGAGCAGGAUGAUGGACCUCGGGUUGGAAACUGCUUUUGUACAGAACGUAAAGGAUUCCGCUAAUAAAGGGAGCUCAUGACGGUACUGUAAGAAUAAGCACCGGCUAACUACGUGCCAGCCGCCGCAGUAA